GUUGGUGCAAAAGUAAUUGCGGUCUUUGCCAUAAAAGUAAUGGCAAAAGCUGCAAUUACUUUU
ensembl:miRNA